CAGUAGCCGCGGUAAUACGUAGGCGGCAAGCGUUGUCCGGAAUUAUUGGGCGUAAAGGGCUCGCAGGCGGUUUCUUAAGCCUGAUGUGAAAGCCCCCGGCUCAACCGGGGAGGGUCAUUGGAAACUGGGAAACUUGAGUGCAGAAGAGGAGAGUGGAAUUCCACGUGUAGCGGUGAAAUGCGUAGAGAUGUGGAGGAACACCAGUGGCGAAGGCGACUCUCUGGUCUGUAACUGACGCUGAGGAGCGAAAGCGUGGGGAGCGAACAGGAUUAGAUACCCGAGUAGUCCCUGUCUCUUAUAA
rnacentral:rRNA from 1 species